rnacentral:rRNA from 1 species
ACGAAGGGUGCAAGCGUUAAUCGGAAUUACUGGGCGUAAAGGGUGCGUAGGCGGUUCGUUAAGUCUGUUGUGAAAUCCCCGAGCUUAACCUGGGAACUGCAUUGGUGACUGGCAGGCUUUGAGUGUGGCAGAGGGAGGUAGAAUUCCACGUGUAGCAGUGAAAUGCGUAGAGAUGUGGAGGAAUACCGAUGGCGAAGGCAGCCUCCUGGGCCAACACUGACGCUCAUGCACGAAAGCGUGGGGAGCAAACAGGA